CAGGAUGCCUCAAAAUAAUCGUACAAAAUAAUAUCUUGCUCUGGCUGUACAAUCCUGCUUUUGAGGAGUGAUUUUUGAGAUCUCUGCAGUCUUGGUCACCACUUUGGUCUACAGCCCCACUGAUUUGCUUGGGAUGUUAUUUUCAGCAGUGUCUCAGUUGCGUUUUAACCUUGGAAUUUACAGUGCUUUGUAAUGUAAUGUAUCCUACGUUGACUGGAUUGAUAGAGACUGUAAAACAGCAGUUGUCACUGGACAGUGCGGAACUUGGCCUUUCAGAUGUGACCUGGAAAAUGAGUCAUUUCUGGCAUGAGUAGAAAGGCUGAGUUACUGGGAUCAUUCACAGUGAUACAGGUUGAACUUCAGAACUCUGGAAACCAUCUUGGAAGAGGUUAAAUGAUGCCAUGAGAAAUACUGGCCAGCAUACAGCCAUUCUAAAAGCUCUGCUUUCUUUAGCCACGAACUCAUUUGCUUUGUAGCUUUCUGUUCACUUUCAGUGUCUGAUUUCGUAGUCGGUGAAGUUCAACAGCAGAACUCAGACCACAUCCUUUGUGCCACUCAUACUUCAAAAGGACAUGAAAUAGCUUUUACAUCUCCACCUCCCUACUAAAAUCUCUCUUACCUUUUGGUUUCUUGCAUUAGAAGGGAAGGAAUGUGCCUGAAACAGUCAGUUUUUUUCUUCUUUUCAUAUUGUUUGAUGCAUGAUGAGCUUGGCUAUCUGAUCUCAUUGUGUUACUGAAUAUGGCUUCAUUAGCCACAAAAAGUGCUAUCUACAAGGAAGAAAAUAUGCCCUCUGCUGACUUCAUAUGUGGCUAGAAUUUAAAAAGCUGCUGUCAGAGUACCACGAUGGAACUAUUGUUUGCAAAUAAAGCAAAUUAAAAUAAACAUCUUUUAUCAUAAGAAAGCAAUUAGUGUUGAUUCGCAGCUUUGCUUGGUUUUUCUUUCCUGACCUUGACUACAUCGUGAUGGUUUUGUGCUUCCUCGGACAGCUUCUACUUGCAUCUGCAUCGAUUAAACCUUGAUCUCAUUUAUUAUCUCAGGAAAUGGUCUCAAGGUCACAGGGCUGGAAAUUUAAUUAUGGUGGCAGUAUAUUAAGUGGCACAUUUAAAGAUGCUGAAUCGCAGUAAUUAAUUUUUUGGAUGGUGGUCUCUAGGGAACAGGUUUUCUCCACACUGGGUGUUUAGACAUCCAUCAUGGCCAUUCAGCUUGGCAGCUGUCUUUUAGCUUUAAACUGUGUCAUUAUUCAUCUUUUACAGCUGACUUUAAAAACACUAGACAACUAUAUUCUUUUUUAUUGUAAUAUAUGUCAGAUGCUUGUAUUAAGCUAUACUUCACCUUUGCUAUAAAACAUUAACAGAGGUUGCUAGUAGUUACCUGGCUGGCCUCUAAAUUGAGAUAACAAUUACCCUUCGCUGACAUCUAGUGUCAAGGCAUGAGAUAUAGCUGGAGUGCUGAAUCCAUUGGCCUGGAAAUCCUGCACUUCCCCAGUGAUUCAAGCUCACCCAAGAAGCUACAGCACUGGACAUAAUUAGUGGACACGAGGGAUUAAGUUGGCACUCAGUGUUGACUUUGUAGCAGCACUAGGUUAUUGAAUGAAAUGCAGCACUGCCAAGGUCUUAAAAAUCUUGUAAUGUUUAAUGAACGAAUGGUCAUUAAACUUGCUGGAUCAAAUAUUAGGCAAGAUGGAACUGGGAGGUAUUUAAUAAGGAGGUCUGAAAAUAUGAACUAAAUCACAUUCACUCAUUUAAAAAGCUGGCAAAAGUCCAGUCUAUUUCAAAAUUCUUCACUGCU